UUGAGAGUAGUACAUCGAUGGGUGACCCCCUUGGGAAGUCCUUGUGUUUGGGUGCGAUCAUACUAGCACUAAUGCACCGGAUCCCGUCAGAACUCA
rnacentral:rRNA from 1 species